rnacentral:tRNA from 1 species
GCAAGUGUGGCCGAGCGGUCUAAGGCGUCAGACUCAAGAUCUGAUGGGCGUGAGUCCUCGUGGGUUCAAAUCCCACCGCUUGCA